GAUUCUGGCUCAGGAUUAACGCUGGCGGCGUGCCUAAUACAUGCAAGUCGAAUGGUAGCAAUACCAUGGCGAACGGGUGAGUAACACGUAGGUAACCUGUCUUUAAGCCGAGGAUAACCAUUGGAAACGAUGGAUAAUACUGGAUAGGACAUUUGAAGGCAUCUUUAGAUGUUUAAAGAUUUAUCACUUAGAGAGGGGCCUGCGGCGCAUUAGCUAGUUGGUGAGGUGAAGGCUUACCAAGGCGAUGAUGCGUAGCCGGACUGAGAGGUUGAACGGCCACAAUGGAACUGAGAACGGUCCAUACUCCUACGGGAGGCAGCAGUAGGGAAUUUUCGGCAAUGGGCGGAAGCCUGAACCCGAGCAACGCCGCGUGAACGAAGAAGUAUUUCGGUAUGUAAAGUUCUUUUAUUAGGGACGAAAAGACAGAUUGACGGUACCUAAUGAAUAAGCUCCGGCUAACUACGUGCCAGCAGCAGC
rnacentral:rRNA from 1 species